rnacentral:lncRNA from 1 species
GCAAGAUAAACAAGAAUAUCAAAAGUGGAGAGUUAUGUAAUUUCUACCGAGGUCAUGGUGAAAUUUAGCUCCUUCCUGCUGUGCUUCAGGACUCUUGCUUCAAAGUCUCCCUAGGAAGGACGAUCUUAGAGGAUACAGAUCAUCCAUAUGCCUAUAAAAGGACAGGAUUAUGUAAUGUUCACUUCAUGUUGCAGAACAGACUCCUCCCUCCUCUAAUUUUACAAGUAAAAGGGAAGAAAAAUUGAAGAAGAAAAUAUCAAUGACAAAAGAUGACAACAUAGUGAAAGAAACCACCAAGAAAGUAUCCUGCAACUGAGUACAAAGAGAGACUGUCGGCACGCAUUGUUCCAGAUGACUCCGGUGACUCACUGGUCCAUGGCCUCUGUCCAGCUAAACUGCUAAUCUCCAAGUUGGCAAGCCCUCACUUUUGUCUUAUUUUUGAAAGGCUUUAUAGAAAUGGCGGUUGCCAUACAUAUAUAUUGUAAGAGAGAGCAAGCAUAGAGGGAAAGGAUAUGAGGAAAAGCAAGAGGAAGAAGAAGAGGGCAAGAAGAGAGAGACUUAGAUUAGGCCACCACCACCAUUCUACACCUAGAUUACCAUAAUGGCUUGUGUUUGCUUCACUUCCAUAUUCACAAACUUAAUCCACAUACGACUGGCAGAUUGAUCUUUCUCAUGUUAUUUUAAUCAUUGUAUUACUAUCAAAAUCUACAACAUAUCCUAACAUUAAAGGAGUAGGGCAUCUUGUGUAAUCUCUACUUGACAUUAGAUAUCAGGGUUAAAUAGAAACAUAUACACAAUCUUAUUUCAUUUUAUUUUCUAUAUUUUCUCUCUCUCUCUCUCUCUCUCUCUCUCUGUGUGUGUGUGUGUGUGUGUGUGUGUGUGUGUUACUGGAGAUUCAGCCGAGAGAUUUGUACCUACCAGGCACUCAUUUCCUUUUGUGUGUCUCUUCUUCUCUUUGUCACUACAGAUACUCCCAUGAUUCCUGCUCAUACUCUACACUACCCAUCUCUUCAGGUCCUAUUUUUAUGGUUCUUCAGUCUACCAAAGUAGUCUUCAUUCUUAAAGUAACUUUGCUACUAAUUUAUAUAUACCUUUAAACUCUUCUUUCUUUUGCCCUCUCUUACUUUCCUUCUCUAGUUGAAUAGCAAAUGCCUCAAAAUUGCAACUCCAACUGAAACAGAUAAAAUGUCUUACUCUCCUGUUUGUUUGUUUGUUUGUUUGUUUUUAGACCUUGGAUGCGUGUUUCCACCGUGUUGCCUUUGAAAUGGCAGGUCACAGAUUUGUUUAACAUUUAGAAAGCUAACACUUGUAUGUAGAAUAGUGAUAAUAGGACUUAAUUAAUACUCAAGAUAUCCUUUGCAGGUUUCCUUUCUCUCUCCAAAAGAAGUUUUGAAAGAGGCACAUGGAUGGACAUAUGCAAGGUGACUGCAUAGGAAUCUUGAGUAACCUUGAACACAAUAUAGAGGGAUAAUGGGCCCAGAAACAAGUUAUUGGUUUACAUAGCA